GGUGGUUUUGGGGUCUGUCGCAAACAAGGGGUUAAUCUACCAUGUUGUACCCGUUUACCAUGCUUCAACUGAUUUUUAUAUCAAUGAUACACCCAGACUGAUGGAUAGGCAGGCCUUCAGUCAGGUAGACCUAUGAUACUGUUGUACCAUGUAUUGGUGGCAGUAUGCAUGGAAACGUUCUUUAUUAUGGUCAAAAUUAUCAAAAUUUGCCAGAUCUUUUGGUAUAUUUUUGGGCCCUUAACCCCCUUAACAGCAUAGAACUGCCUAAAAUGCAUUGCUUCAUCUAUAUUUCAAUCAAAAACAUUGAUAUAACCAUCAGUUCUAAACAUCUGUUCGGCUGAUUUUAUAAAAUAUGCAAGUAAACUGAAAAAGUCGUUUUAAGGUCUGUCGCAAACAAGGGGUUAAU